rnacentral:rRNA from 1 species
UUAGUGGCGCACGGGUGCGUAACGCGUGGGAAUCUACCCUAGGGUGCGGAAUAACUCAGAGAAAUUUGAGCUAAUACCGCAUAAUGUCUUCGGACCAAAGAUUUAUCGCCCUGGGAUGAGCCCGCGUAAGAUUAGCUAGUUGGUGGGGUAAAAGCCUACCAAGGCGACGAUCUUUAGCUGGUCUGAGAGGAUGAUCAGCCACACUGGGACUGAGACACGGCCCAGACUCC